AAACAGAGCAAAUUAAGAAGAAAAUCCAAGUUUAAAACUUUAUUUUAGAUCAAUAGAUUAAUACAAGUUGAAAGGUUCCUUCUAAUAGUUGUGUUUCUUUAUGUUUUAUGAAAAAUUAUUCGCCUUGUGAGGUCCACCACAAUGACUGAUCCAACCAAUGAGCUGAUCCGAAGUCCACCCACCACUUGUUGUGUAUGAAGUAAAGCGAAAAACUAGAAGCAACUCAAUAGGUUGACUUUAGCCGACCAGAUCCAGCGCUCUGUUCUCUCCAUUGCCAUUUGCUUUACCAAACCUACUGCUACGGGUUCUCUCCAUUGCCCUUUCUUUGAUCAAUCUCUUUGUGGAUUGCAAAUUCUGAAGAAAACAUGGCUGUUGAAUUGGCGGGUGGAGCUCUUCUUUCUGCUACCCUUCGAGUGGUGUUUGAUAGGCUGGCUCGUCGUGAGGUGGUGGACUACCUGCGUGGAAAGAAACUCAGUGAUCAGCUCAUCAACAAUUUGAGGACUGUCCUAUCAGCUGUUAAUUCUGUGCUCGAUGAUGCAGAGUUGAAGCAAAACAUCAACCCCAACAUCAAGCAGUGGCUGGACGAGCUUGAAAAUGCUUCCUACGAUGCAGACGAUCUGUUGGAUGAGAUUGAAACUCAUGCCCUUCAAUCUAAUUUAAAAGAUGAAUCAACAAAGUCGUCUAAAGCAAGUAAGUUAUUCAAACAUUCUAUUUCCAUUUCUUUCCGUUCAUAUAAUCGAGAUAUGAAGAAGAAGCUGAAGGAGAUUCUUCAAAGGUUGAAAUUUCUUGAAGAACGAAUAUAUGUGCUUGGUCUUAUAAAGGGUGUUGGCGAAAAACCAUCACCAAGACCACCGACCACAUCUUUGACAGAAGAAUCUGAGGUCUACGGUAGAGAUGCUGAUAAGGAGGCCAUAAUCAAGUUGUUGCUUACAGAUGAUGAUCAUGAGGGUAGGAAUAAGGUGUCUGUGAUUCCAAUAGUAGGCAUGGGUGGCAUUGGCAAAACCACCCUUGCUCAAUCAGUAUACAACGAUCAUGCAGUUGAGAAGCACUUUAACUUCAAAUCAUGGGUUUGUGUUUCUGAAGAGUUUGACAUUUGCAAUGUAACGAAAACAGUCCUCUGUGCUGUAACUAAGUCUCAUUCUCAUUCUUAUGAUGACUCAAACUUGGAUUUGCUUCAAACUGAAUUGAAAGAGGGGCUAACCGGAAAAAAAUUCUUAAUUGUUUUAGACGAUGUGUGGAACGAGGAUUAUAUUGAUUGGAAGAAAAUGUGUACACCUUUUAAUUAUGGGGCUCAAGGAUGUAAGAUUAUUGUAACAACACGCAAUGAAAACGUUGCAGACAUCACGGGCACUAUUCCAACUCAUUAUCAUCUUGAGCACUUGAAAGAUGAAGAUUGCUGGAAACUGUUUGAAAAGCAUGCAUUUGACAAAAUUAGAGAUUCUGGUGUAUGUCAAGUCCUGGAAAAAAUUGGUCGAGGAAUUGCCAAGAAAUGCAAUGGCUUGCCCUUAGCUGCAAAAUCACUUGGAGGCCUCUUGCGCUCUAAAGAAGAUAUCAAUGAAUGGGAAAGAGUAUUAAAGAGUGAGAUUUGGGAUUUUUCAUAUAAAGAGACUAAAAUUCUACCAGCUUUGUUGUUAAGCUACAACUACCUUCCAUCACACCUAAAGCGAUGUUUUGCUUUUUGUUCAAUGUUCCCCAAGGACUAUGAAUUCCAGAAGCAUGAAUUGGUCUUAUUGUGGAUGGCAGAAAAUCUUUUGCGUCAAUCAAAAAGAGAUAAGAGAAUGGAAGAUAUAGGUGAUGAAUAUUUUAACGAGUUAGUGUUAACAUCAUUUUUCCAAAGAUCAAGUAAUGUUAGUGCAUCUUCCUGGGAAUACUCAUUUGAAGUGGAAAAAUCUUUCUUUGUGAUGCAUGAUCUUGUUCAUGAUUUAGCCAGAUAUGUAUCCGGGGAAUAUUGUUUUACAUUAGAAGAUGGCAACUCAAAUGAAAAGGCGAUGAGGGUGCGUCAUCUAGGUGUUGCAACAGUUGUUUCCUCACAGAGAUUUGGUACUAUUUCUGAAUCAACUCAUUUGCGCACACUUUUACCAUUAGACAGUUAUUCAUUUCGCAACUUAUUCAAUGAAGUAGUGAACAACGUAAUUUUGAAGUUGAGGUGUUUGAGAGUAUUGUCAUUGUUUGGUUGUAAAAAUUUGACGCAGUUAAGUGAAUCAAUUGGUGAACUAAAGCAUCUUCGUUUCCUUAAUCUCUCUGAAACUUCAAUCAAAAGAUUGCCCAAUUCUGUGUGUAAGUUGUACAAUUUACAAAUUUUAAAUUUAUCAUGGUGUCAUGGACUCAUUGAGUUGCCUGAAGAUAUGCAUCAUCUUAUCAACUUGAGGCAUCUUGAUAUCAGUUAUUGUUUUGAUUUAGUAGAGAUGCCAAGACAAUUGAGUAAAUUGAAGAGUCUCCUGACGUUGACAUAUUUUGUUGUGGGAAAAGAUAAUAAGGCAAAGAUAGGAGAGUUGAGGGAGCUUUCAGAUCUCCAUGGAGAACUUGACAUUAGAAAUUUACAGAAUGUCCCAAGUGCUGAGGAUGCAUUCGAAGCCAAGUUGAUGGACAAAAACAAUCUUGAGGGGUUGCUGUUGUUUUGGAAUGGCAAUUCUAAUGAUUCAAAUCAUGACGAAGAAGUACUUAAAAAUCUAUUGCCUCACACGAAUUUGAAAAUGCUUUACAUACAUGGAUAUGGAGGUCCUUCAUUCCCAAACUGGUUAGGUGAUGUAUCAUUCUGCAAUACAGUCUAUAUACGACUUGGCGAGUGUAAAUAUUGCAAGUGCUUGCCACCACUUGGACAGCUACCCUCCCUCAAAACUCUGUAUAUUGAAGGACUUAGUGGAGUGGUGACUGUGGGUGCAGAGUUUUAUGGGAUUAAUGGUUCUAAUUCUGCGAGAAAGGCAUUUUCAUCACUGGAAUUUUUGCGUUUCUCUAAUUUGGCAGCCUGGCAAGAAUGGUGUUCAGUUGGAGUUGACGAUGGUGAAAUCUUCCCUAAACUCCAAGCACUUGAAAUACUUGGGUGUGACAGGUUAAGGUCUGUUGAUUGGCCUGUAAACCUGCCAUGUCUAACAAAGCUUCGAAUUAUAUGUUCUAGCAGUGGCAGUGAGGUUCUUGUUUCAUCACUCCCAAGGACUCCGGCUAUCCGUCACUUGGGUUUAAGCAAGUGUGAACAAAUAGAGGUACGGGGAUUGCCACAAACAGUGGAAACAAUUAGUGUUGGAGGAUGUAGAGGUGUAGAAUCAUUGAUGAAGGCAUUAAGAGAGAGCCAAACUUGUAGUCUUCAAAGCCUAUGUAUCAAUGAUUGUUCUUUGCCUAUAUCCUUGCCUACAGGGUGUCUCCCUGCUACCCUGACACAACUGCGAAUCAAUAAUUGUGAGAAAUUAGAAUUCCCAAUGCACCAUGACUCACUCAAAACGUCUCUUCAAAGCGUUUCCAUAUCAAAAAGUUGCGGGGGUUCACUUAUAUUCUUUCCCCUGGAUUUCUUUCCCAGCCUCAAUUAUCUCUGUUUUGAAGAGUGUGAAAAUCUAGAAUCUCUGAUGGUCUCAGAUGGGCUGCCAUACCAGCAUGGCCUAAUAUGUCUAUCUUCUCUGCGGAUCGAACGUUGCUUCAUGUUCAUAUCUUUUCCUAAUGGCGGAUUGCAUGCUCCCAAUCUAACUCAUCUUACAGUUCGAGAUUGCAAGAAAUUAAAGGAGCUGCCUGAGCAAAUGGCUAACCUCCUUCCAUCUCUGGAGGAUUUUACGAUCACUGAUUGUCCAGAGGUGGAGUCAUUUCCGGAAGGUGGUCUACCCUCUAAUCUUUGUUAUCUUUUCAUUAAAAACUGCUCUAAACUCAUUGCACAGCGAUCCAAGUGGAAUUUACAAAAGCUCCAAGCUCUUAAAUACUUUGAAAUCGUAGGAGGUGAAGGCGUGGAAUCGUUUCCAGAGGAGGGGCUGCUGCCUUCAACUCUUACCCAUCUUUGGAUGGGUGGAUUUGCAAGUCUUAAGAGGCUGGACAUAAAGGAGCUUCAACAACUUACUUCUCUUACAUUUCUAGAAAUCAAGAAGUGCCCUCAAUUACAGAAUCUGCCACAACAGAAGCUUCCUACCUCUCUUAAUGAUUUAUUUAUCAACAAAUGUCCAAUCCUGAAAGAAAGGUGUCAGAGGGAUAAAGGGAAAGACUGGAACAAGAUUUCUCACAUCCCCGGCAUCCAUAUCGAUUAUAAGGUCAUUUGAUCAGAUAUGUGCAACUGACUACUCUUUACAUUCCUGGUAGGUUGGUACGUAACAAUAUCUUGAACUUGUUGUCCCACUUGUGCUUAUUUCUCGAAUAUUCAAUUGUUUUGUGACUGCAUGCAUGCAUAAACCCCAGAAAAUUCACCGACAUCUUUCUUAUUCCAAAAUUUACCCUUUUUUUUUAAAUUUGUUUUAACUGCUUUGUUCUUUUGGCAUUAUCUACAUUUAUACUAAGCUAUAUAUUAAAAAAUUCCAAUCAUUGUCAAUCCUUUCCCUAUUAGUGCAACUUCAAUUUGCAUGUCAAUGUUAAAAUUUUCUUUAAUAUUAUUGAGGUUUGAACAAUAUGGUUUUCCAACUUUCUUCAUAGUUAGGAUGUCUCUUCAUUGUCUGCUCUUCGGAUAGUCAUCUUUUCUGUUAGAAGUUUAACAACAUCACAGUUUUAUAUAUAACUAAAGAAGGUGAUACCAUUGGCUUAUAUAUUUAUUUAUUUUCUUACAAAUAUUGUUGAUAUUUUUGAGAUCUGGAUAUAUAAAACGUGCUCUAACCAAUAUUUUUCUGAUUGAUAAAUAGAUUGAGGGCAUCAUUAUGAUUGAAUUCUUAAUGCUAAGACAUAUUUGUAGGUUCAAACUCCUUAAACAUCCAUUCAAUUCUUGGUGCGGUACCUUUAUAAAUGAAUAUGGAAUGUUGCAGAAGACAUAUUGGAUGAGAAUUCACAACAAAGCUUUUGUCUUCCUUGAUGCUCUUCCUCAUUUAUUUUGGGUUCAUGUGUUCACAAAUCCUGCAAGAUGGCAACAAGUGCAAAUAAAAUUUUCAAAUUCUGAGUUUACUUGUUUGGGAAAUUUAGAUAUUUGUGCAUGCUACAUUUGCAAAUACUAGUUAUUUCUAAUUAUGGUGUUGUAUUAAGAAUUAUUAGUUUUACAUUUACAUUUAUCAUGGAUAUUAAUGAUGAUUUAAAGACUUUAGUUCA